UCACUUAAUAGGCUACACUGUUAAAUGUCGCUGUAGAUUUUGCAGCACAGUACUGUAAAAACCUACAGUACAGUACCAUAUUUCUAUAUUACAGUAAAAUACUGUAAUUUAUAUUGCAUUCUGGGUAAUUUUGAUUGAGCGGGAAUAUUUUACAGUACAUUUUAGUGUUGCUGUAACCCUGCUGUAAUAUACCAGGCAAUAAUACAGGAUUGCUGUAAAUAACGCGCCACCUGACGUCACAUCACACAGACAGAAGAACACGGCCGCUGGUGACUGGAGAAGCAGAACGGUGUAUUUCUGGAAGUUUGCAGUGUGGUCCACUUGUCUUUGCAUCCUGGGAAGUGCAUUGCUUUCACAAGGAAGCGUAUUUUUUUGGCAUUGAAGGAAAGAAAUGUACUGCCCGACAGGGAGUGAGCAGAAGACCAGGAUGGUGGUGCAGAGUGAUGGCCAUCAACCCACAUGUCAACAGCUUCGUUCGGUCCUUUGUGUUUAAAUGGAAGACUUCACACUGAGGGACUGUGGCCUGUUUGCAACCAUCCACGUGCCCUUCAGUUAGGGGUGAAUCUUGUGGGACACUUGUUGUUUUUGCUCACUUUUUAAGAUAAAUCAAAUUUCUGAUGCACUGUACCAAGACCGUUGCUGAUGGGGCGAAAGAUGGUGACAAUUCUGAAAUGUUUUGAAAUGUUUAAAUAUAUUGAUUGAAUAAAAAUACAUUUUUUAAAUUUA